rnacentral:rRNA from 1 species
CGAUGGAUAGGGGUUCUGAGAGGAAGGUCCCCCACAUUGGAACUGAGACACGGUCCAAACUCCUACGGGAGGCAGCAGUGAGGAAUAUUGGUCAAUGGACGAGAGUCUGAACCAGCCAAGUAGCGUGAAGGAUGACUGCCCUAUGGGUUGUAAACUUCUUUUAUACGGGAAUAAAGUGAGGCACGUGUGCCUUUUUGUAUGUACCGUAUGAAUAAGGAUCGGCUAACUCCGUGCCAGCAGCCGCGGUAAUACGGAGGAUCCGAGCGUUAUCCGGAUUUAUUGGGUUUAAAGGGAGCGUAGGCGGACGCUUAAGUCAGUUGUGAAAGUUUGCGGCUCAACCGUAAAAUUGCAGUUGAUACUGGGUGUCUUGAGUACAGUAGAGGCAGGCGGAAUUCGUGGUGUAGCGGUGAAAUGCUUAGAUAUCACGAAGAACUCCGAUUGCGAAGGCAGCUUGCUGGACUGUAACUGACGCUGAUGCUCGAAAGUGUGGGUAUCAAACAGGAUUAGAUACCCUGGUAGUCCACACAGUAAACGAUGAAUACUCGCUGUUUGCGAUAUACAGUAAGCGGCCAAGCGAAAGCGUUAAGUAUUCCACCUGGGGAGUACGCCGGCAACGGUGAAACUCAAAGGAAUUGACGGGGGCCCGCACAAGCGGAGGAACAUGUGGUUUAAUUCGAUGAUACGCGAGGAACCUUACCCGGGCUUGAAUUGCAACUGAAUGAUGUGGAGACAUGUCAGCCGCAAGGCAGUUGUGAAGGUGCUGCAUGGUUGUCGUCAGCUCGUGCCGUGAGGUGUCGGCUUAAGUGCCAUAACGAGCGCAACCCUUAUCGAUAGUUACCAUCAGGUUAUGCUGGGGACUCUGUCGAGACUGCCGUCGUAAGAUGUGAGGAAGGUGGGGAUGACGUCAAAUCAGCACGGCCCUUACGUCCGGGGCUACACACGUGUUACAAUGGGGGGUACAGAAGGCAGCUACACGGCGACGUGAUGCUAAUCCCUAAAGCCUCUCUCAGUUCGGAUUGGAGUCUGCAACCCGACUCCAUGAAGCUGGAUUCGCUAGUAAUCGCGCAUCAGCCACGGCGCGGUGAAUACGUUCCCGGGCCUUGUACACACCGCCCGUCAAGCCAUGAAAGCCGGGGGUACCUGAAGUGCGUAACCGCAAGGAGCGCCCUAGGGUAAAACUGGUGAUUGGGGCUAAGUCGUAACAAGGUAGCCGUACCGGAAGGUGCGGCUG